GCCGAAGUGGCGGAACUGGCAGACGCGCUGGAUUCAAAAUCCAGUUUCCCUCAAAGGAAGUGUGGGUUCGAGUCCCACCUUCGGCA
rnacentral:tRNA from 1 species